GCGGGUAUAGCUCAGUUGGCUAGAGCGCAGCUCUGAUAAAGCUGAGGUCCUUGGUUCAAAUCCAAGUACCCGCAC
rnacentral:tRNA from 1 species